rnacentral:rRNA from 1 species
AUUGAACGCUGGCGGCAGGCCUAACACAUGCAAGUCGAACGGUAGCACAGAGAGCUUGCUCUCGGGUGACGAGUGGCGGACGGGUGAGUAAUGUCUGGGAAACUGCCCCUGAUGGGAGGGGGAUAACCUACUGGAAACGGUAGCUAAUACCGCAUAACGUCGCAAGACCCAAAGAGGGGGACCUUCGGGCCCUCUUGCCAUCAGAUGUGCCCCCCAGAUGGGAUUAGCCUAGUAGGUGGGGUAAAAACGGGCUCACCUAGGCGACGGAUCCCCUAGCUGUCUUGAGAGGAUGACCCAGCCACACUGGAACUGAGACACGGUCCCAGACCUCCCCCC